UUAUGCAGCUAAAAUGUGUGUGGGCUAUAAGAAAUGAAGUUAAAAGUAAAGUUCAUUAAUCCCUUUCCUUUCUUUUCCCUGCCUCCCUUCCUUCAUUCCUUUGUUCCUUCGUUCCUUCUUCUCUUAGGCUUCAUUUUAUGACCAGGAAACUUUGUUAUACCUCUAUUCCUUACGGAUGCCUUUGUAACACAACAGUGAAGCAGUAUGUGGGACUGAGCAGAUUGAUUGCAACCCAAGUCUAUCAUAUGUGUUAAACAAAUGCCCAAUGGACUAAAUAAAUGAAUGAAUAAAUCAGCGAUGAAAUCCAAGGAAGUAAAAAACAGUAAAGGAAGAGAUGUGGACACUCACAAGGACAAAAAAUACCCCAUCAUGAUAUCAGGAUAUUGGCAACAUUUGCUAAAAACACACUAUG